GAGUAACGCGUAAGAAUCUACCUUCAGGUUGGGGACAACCACUGAAAACGGUGCUUACUACCGAAUGUACCGAGAGUUGAAAGGCUUCCUCCCUGAAGAAGAGCUUGCGUCUGAUUAGCUAUUUGCUGGGGUAAGAGCCUACCAAGGUGACGAUCAGUGGCUGGUCUGAGAGGAUGAUCGACCACACUGGGACUGAGACACGGCCCAGACUCCUACGGGAGGCAGCAGUGGGGAAUUUUCCGCAAUGGGCGAAAGCCUGACGGAGCAAUACCGCCUGAGGGAGGAAGGCUCUUGGGUUGUAAACCUCUUUUCUCAGGGAAGAAAAAAAUGACGGUACCUGAGGAAUAAGCAUCGGCUAACUCCGUGCCAGCAGCCGCGGUAAUACGGAGGAUGCAAGCGUUAUCCGGAAUGAUUGGGCGUAAAGGGUCCGCAGGUGGCAUUGUAUGUCUGCUGUUAAAGAGUCUGGCUCAACCAGAUCAAAGCAGUGGAAACUACAAAGCUAGAGUAUGGUCGGGGCAGAGGGAAUUCCUGGUGUAGCGGUGAAAUGCGUAGAUAUCAGGAAGAACACCGAUGGCGAAGGCGCUCUGCUGAGUAACGCGUAAGAAUCUACCUUCAGGUUGGGGACAACCACUGAAAACGGUGCUUACUACCGAAUGUACCGAGAGUUGAAAGGCUUCCUCCCUGAAGAAGAGCUUGCGUCUGAUUAGCUAUUUGCUGGGGUAAGAGCCUACCAAGGUGACGAUCAGUGGCUGGUCUGAGAGGAUGAUCGACCACACUGGGACUGAGACACGGCCCAGACUCCUACGGGAGGCAGCAGUGGGGAAUUUUCCGCAAUGGGCGAAAGCCUGACGGAGCAAUACCGCCUGAGGGAGGAAGGCUCUUGGGUUGUAAACCUCUUUUCUCAGGGAAGAAAAAAAUGACGGUACCUGAGGAAUAAGCAUCGGCUAACUCCGUGCCAGCAGCCGCGGUAAUACGGAGGAUGCAAGCGUUAUCCGGAAUGAUUGGGCGUAAAGGGUCCGCAGGUGGCAUUGUAUGUCUGCUGUUAAAGAGUCUGGCUCAACCAGAUCAAAGCAGUGGAAACUACAAAGCUAGAGUAUGGUCGGGGCAGAGGGAAUUCCUGGUGUAGCGGUGAAAUGCGUAGAUAUCAGGA
rnacentral:rRNA from 1 species